rnacentral:rRNA from 1 species
UUAAAGGAAUUGACGGAAGGGCACCACCAGAAGUGGGGCCUGCGGCUUAAUUUGACUCAACACGGGGAACCUCACCAGGCCCGGACACUGGAAGGAUUGACAGAUUGAGAGCUCUUUCUUGAUUCGGUGGGUGGUGGUGCAUGGCCGUUCAUAGUUGGUGGAUCGAUUUGUCUGGUUAAUUCCGAUAACGAACGAGACUCUAGCCUACUAACUAGUCGGCACCGGCAUCCGAUGCGCAGCCGGCGAACACACUUCUUCUUAGGGGGACAGGCGGCUUCUAGCCGCACGAGAUUGAGCAAUAACAGGUCUGUAAUGCCCUUAGAUGUUCUGGGCCGCACGCGCGCCACACUGAAGGGAUCAGCGAGUGUUUUCCUUGCCCGAGAGGGCCGGGAAACCUGUUGAACCCCCUUCGUGCUUGGGAUUGGCGCUUGCAAUUUUUCGCCACGAACGAGGAAUUCCCAGUAAGCUUGAGUCAUCAGCUCGAGUUGAUUAAGUCCCUGCCCUUUGUACACACCGCCCGUCGCUACUACCGAUUGAAUGAGUUAGUGAGGUCUUCGGACCAGCGCGCGGCCUCCUCGCGGUCGCCGAUGCGCCGGGAAGAUGACCGAACUUGCUCAUUUAGAGGAAGUAAAAGUCGUAACAAGGUUUCC